rnacentral:rRNA from 1 species
GUAGGGUGCAGGCGUUAAUCGGAAUUACUGGGCGUAAAGCGUGCGCAGGCGGUUUCUUAAGUCAGAUGUGAAAGCCCCGGGCUUAACCUGGGAACUGCGUUUGAAACUGGGAGACUUGAGUGUGGCAGAGGGGGGUGGAAUUCCACGUGUAGCAGUGAAAUGCGUAGAUAUGUGGAGGAACACCGAUGGCGAAGGCAGCCCCCUGGGUUAACACUGACGCUCAUGCACGAAAGCGUGGGGAGCAAACAGGAUUAGAUACCCUGGUAGUCCACGCCCUAAACUAUGUCAACUGGUUGUCGGGGGAUUAAUUCCCUUGGUAACGAAGCUAACGCGUGAAGUUGACCGCCUGGGGAGUACGGCCGCAAGGUUA